AUGUGUUGGUCGGUUGUCGUAAAUGUGUUGGUCGGUUGUCGUAAAUGUGUUGGUCGGUUGUCGUAAAGCCAAUCUGUGUAUAUGGUCGACUGUUAACAAGGGUAUCAUGUGUCCUGCACAACAACCAACCGCCUUUAUUUCCCCAAUGUAAGCUCGUUAUUUAAGUGCACUCAUGAAGCUUCUAAAUGUGUACUCAAGGGGAUUCUAAAUGUGCAGUCAGGGGUGUUCUAAAUGUGCACUC